rnacentral:lncRNA from 1 species
AGAGCCUUUGGUUCCAAAAAAAACUUUGGAUUUCUUCAAUAAAAUUGCCUUUUCUGGAUAUGAAUUUUGUGUGUGUGUUUUUAGAGUUAUAAACAAUAGUUAAAAUCCAUUUUUUGGUCCCCAAAAUCCGCCGCCUCAACAGUAAAAUUGAGGGGUAUUUAUAAGGGGAGAUUUAGAGCAGAAAGAGGGGGAAACCGAGGGAUUAGAAUUCAAAAUUCGAAAUUCCAAAGAAUAAGGGACGAGGUGGAAUUGUACGAACUCUCAACGGAUUUGAGAGGAGGACCACUGAUUUAGAGAGGAAGGACAAACGAGCAAGGAGAUGGGACACAUUGGAUGAUUCUCCAACGUUUCUUGUACAAAAGGAUAAGGACGA